AUGAUCUGCAGGACCCUGCUGCUUGUCAUCCUCACCUCAUGUGUCUCUGGAUCAUUUGUAGUCAAUGUGACACAGACCUCCUAUCAGGCAGAGGAGAACCACAACAUCACACUGGAAUGGACGUUCACAACCCAACCUGACAGAUCCCCCAAAACUCUCAACAUCCUCUGUGAAUUGAUAACUGAGCAUACAGAUUCAGUCCUGUAUCGUGUUCGUGAAGGUGUUGAGGUGUCAGAGUCUCAGGAUGAAAAGUUUUCAGGACGUGUUGAGAGUGACAAAGACAGCCUCAGAGAAGGACGAAUCAGACUUCAACUGUUUAGACUCAGGACUGAUGACUCGGGUCUGUACCUGUGUGAACUGAACACAGAUUAUGGCUUUGGCUCUGCCAGAUGUCGACUCAGCAUCACUGGUAAGUUUAUUAGUGGAAUGAUUAUCAAUUUUUGGCCUGAACUUUGGGAUAAUAUACUUUGGUUGGUAUGUAGACUAACUAUCUAUAUUAAAGACAUUUAUUUUAUGUGCUUUUUGUUAGGUUCGGAUGACCCCAAACGUCAAAGUCCAACAGUGAACACACAACCAGAGAGUCGAGGAUGGCUCAACCUGUAUCCUUUACUGAUACUGCCAGCAGCAGCUUUACUGAUCAAACUCUGUUAUAAAAUCAUAAAACGAAAACAUAACCUAAAUCUAAACAGUCACCACCUAGGCAGCGACUGCAGUGAAGCAGUGGUCAACUUGAAUAAUUCAGAUGCCACUCAUCUUGCUGCUUCAUUAGAAGCCACAUCCACCAUCUUCAUCUGAGUGUGGACAUGACUUCCCUGAACCCCAAAGAUUGUCAUGUUAACAGCUGGGUCUGCAGUGGAAGCUUUGUGGAAGCAUCAACCUCAGUCUGAACUGAGAAACACUGUCUGCAGUCUGCAGCCAUCAUCGCAAACACUGAUGGAAACAUUUAAAGCUCGUAUCACACAUAUCAUUAAUAACAUUUCUUUCCUCUUUUGGUUCUAUCAUUUGUCUCUGUCAGAUAUUGUCUGAGGAAUCUUUAUUAUUUGGCCAUUAAGUAUGCAGAGCGAUUGAAAUCACUUGUUGUUCUCCCAUCAGCUGUUAUCAACAAUUACUGUUUAAAAUGUGCCUGAACUCAAGAAGUUAAAAGAAUUCAAAGUGUUACAAUGAACUCCUAAUAAUUUGACUAUGGAUCGCCAUAGUUAGAAUGUACUUUUCCUAAAGUUAAUGUGUAUGUGUAUAUAUUGUAAACAAAUCCUUAUUUAUAUGAAAGAAGUUAUGAUUCUUCUGUGUAUGCGUGUGUCCAAAUCAUUUUAUCAAUGAGCCAGAAGAUCUUUGAGAGAUCUACCAAGUGUAAUCUAACAUGUUUGCUACUAUUAGUUCACAAGGUGUAAAACAGCAAGGGCAGGAGUUUGAUAAUUAUUUAAAAUAUAUAAAACACUGAAUGUGUAGAUAUAAACCAACACUCAUUAUAAUUCAGAGUUGUUCAUGCCAACUCUUAAUCAUAACAUUAUUCUAGUUAAAUAAUAUUUAAUUGGAGUUGAAAUGACUGUUUUACUCUCAGCACUGAAAACACUUUGAUUCUGCUGAGUUUGUCUCCUGUCAGCUUCUGUCUCUGCUUUCAUAAAAUAAAACAAUCGAUCUUUGUGAUCAACAACACAAACAAUGGUGGUGACAUUUCUGACGAAAAAUACUGCAGCAUGGUGUUAACAGCUACAUGUAAUCUCCCAUCAUGUUCACUGCAUUUGUUGACAUGAGUAGACAGAUAACAGUUUUCUGUUUUAUCACAUUUGUUCUUGUGUUAUAUUGGGACAAUUGUCCAACAGGCACAUGUCCAGGGUCUAUCAAAGGACAAUAACAAACAAACAAACAAACCCUUCAAAUAUCUAGUUUUCUCAAGAUGGUCUAUAUGCAAAAGACUCUGAUUUUUUAAGAGAUGUCUGUUGCUGGUAGUAUAACAGCUGGCAGACCUUGCCAUCUAUCAGCUGACCGGGCUAUCAGGGCUCAUGAUACCCACCUACAAUGUUUCACUGAACUGGUUUUCAACUGGUUUUAACUGGUUAUGGAUGUCAACCAACCAGUUGUGACAGAUGGCCGCCCCUCCCUGAGCCUGGUUCUGCAGGAGGUUCCUUCCUGUUAAAAGGGAGUUUUUCUUUUCCACUGUCGCCAAGUGCUUCAAAGGGUUUAGUUGAAAAGAUCUGUGUUUAGUUUACUUUACAUUUAGACCAAACAAAUCUGUUGCCAAAAAUGGGCUUGUUAUUGUUGGUCAAAAUGGCUACCAGCUUAGCAUUAAAACUGCCUCACACUGUAAGUCACAAGCACAAUGAUGACAACUAAAAUGGUAUUCAUUGUCAUUUUCCACAGACAACAGUCAUGGAGUCUUAUAAAACUGAGCACAUUUAGGACAUUAAAGAUCUCUGUAAAGAGCAGUUAAAGAAUUUAGCUUCCACCAAGCUGCAAAUUUCAAGGAAAUAAAAAGGAUGCAAAAACUGCCUGAGUUCUGUUUGUAAAGAGUGGUUUGUAGAGACACACAACAGAGUAUGAG
ensembl:lncRNA